rnacentral:rRNA from 1 species
CGACGCUGGCGGCGUGCCUAAUACAUGCAAGUAGAACGCUGAAGAGAGGAGCUUGCUCUUCUUGGAUGAGUUGCGAACGGGUGAGUAACGCGUAGGUAACCUGCCUUGUAGCGGGGGAUAACUAUUGGAAACGAUAGCUAAUACCGCAUAACAAUGGAUGACACAUGUCAUUUAUUUGAAAGGGGCAAUUGCUCCACUACAAGAUGGACCUGCGUUGUAUUAGCUAGUAGGUGAGGUAAUGGCUCACCUAGGCGACGAUACAUAGCCGACCUGAGAGGGUGAUCGGCCACACUGGGACUGAGACACGGCCCAGACUCCUACGGGAGGCAGCAGUAGGGAAUCUUCGGCAAUGGGGGCAACCCUGACCGAGCAACGCCGCGUGAGUGAAGAAGGUUUUCGGAUCGUAAAGCUCUGUUGUAAGUCAAGAACGGGUGUGAGAGUGGAAAGUUCACACUGUGACGGUAGCUUACCAGAAAGGGACGGCUAACUACGUGCCAGCAGCCGCGGUAAUACGUAGGUCCCGAGCGUUGUCCGGAUUUAUUGGGCGUAAAGCGAGCGCAGGCGGUUUGAUAAGUCUGAAGUUAAAGGCUGUGGCUCAACCAUAGUUCGCUUUGGAAACUGUCAAACUUGAGUGCAGAAGGGGAGAGUGGAAUUCCAUGUGUAGCGGUGAAAUGCGUAGAUAUAUGGAGGAACACCGGUGGCGAAAGCGGCUCUCUGGUCUGUAACUGACGCUGAGGCUCGAAAGCGUGGGGAGCGAACAGGAUUAGAUACCCUGGUAGUCCACGCCGUAAACGAUGAGUGCUAGGUGUUGGAUCCUUUCCGGGAUUCAGUGCCGCAGCUAACGCAUUAAGCACUCCGCCUGGGGAGUACGACCGCAAGGUUGAAACUCAAAGGAAUUGACGGGGGCCCGCACAAGCGGUGGAGCAUGUGGUUUAAUUCGAAGCAACGCGAAGAACCUUACCAGGUCUUGACAUCCCGAUGCUAUUUCUAGAGAUAGAAAGUUACUUCGGUACAUCGGUGACAGGUGGUGCAUGGUUGUCGUCAGCUCGUGUCGUGAGAUGUUGGGUUAAGUCCCGCAACGAGCGCAACCCCUAUUGUUAGUUGCCAUCAUUCAGUUGGGCACUCUAGCGAGACUGCCGGUAAUAAACCGGAGGAAGGUGGGGAUGACGUCAAAUCAUCAUGCCCCUUAUGACCUGGGCUACACACGUGCUACAAUGGUUGGUACAACGAGUUGCGAGUCGGUGACGGCGAGCUAAUCUCUUAAAGCCAAUCUCAGUUCGGAUUGUAGGCUGCAACUCGCCUACAUGAAGUCGGAAUCGCUAGUAAUCGCGAUCAGACGCCGCG